rnacentral:rRNA from 1 species
CGCGUAGGUGGUAGUGCAAGUCUGAGGUGGAAUCCCAGGGCUUAACCCUGGAACUGCCUUGGAAACUGCAUUACUUGAGUCAGUGAGGGGAGGGUAGAAUUCCUGGUGUAGCGGUGAAAUGCGUAGAUAUCAGGAGGAAGGCCGGUGGCGAAGGCGGCCCUCUGGCGCUGAACUGACACUGAGGCGCGAAAGCGUGGGUAGCAAACAGGGUUAGAUACCCUGGUAGUCCACGCCCUAAACGGUGGGCACUAGGUGUAGGGCUCGUAAGGGUUCUGUGCCGAAGCGAAAGCAUUAAGUGCCCCGCCUGGGGAGUACGGCCGCAAGGUUGAAA